rnacentral:tRNA from 1 species
GGUGGCUUAGCUCAGUGGUUAUAGCUUAAGCCUUGUCACCGGAAGGUCCUGGGAUCGAAUCGCCAGAGGCAGAA